rnacentral:rRNA from 1 species
CCCAAGCGACUGUUUACUAAAAACACAGGUCCGUGCGAAGUCGCAAGACGAUGUAUACGGACUGACGCCUGCCCGGUGCUGGAACGUUAAGAGGACCUGUUAGUCCCCUUGUGGGGCGAAGCGGAGAAUUUAAGCGCCAGUAAACGGCGGUGGUAACUAUAACCAUCCUAAGGUAGCGAAAUUCCUUGUCGGGUAAGUUCCGACCUGCACGAAUGGCGUAACGACUUGGGCGCUGUCUCGACCACAGACUCGGCGAAAUUGCACUACGAGUAAAGAUGCUCGUUACGCGCGGCAGGACGGAAAGACCCCGGGACCUUUACUAUAGCUUGGUAUUGGUGCUCGGUUCGGCUUGUGUAGGAUAGGUGGGAGACUGUGAAGCUAUCACGCCAGUGGUGGUGGAGUCGUUGUUGAAAUACCACUCUGGUCGAAUUGGGUGUCUUAACCUCGGGCCAUGAUCUGGUUCAGGGACAGUGCCUGGUGGGUAGUUUAACUGGGGCGGUUGCCUCCCAAAGAGUAACGGAGGCGCCCAAAGGUUCCCUCAGCCUGGUUGGCAAUCAGGUGUUGAGUGUAAGUGCACAAGGGAGCUUGACUGUGAGACUGACGGGUCGAGCAGGGACGAAAGUCGGGACUAGUGAUCCGGCACCACCUUGUGGAAGGGGUGUCGCUCAACGGAUAAAAGGUACCCCGGGGAUAACAGGCUGAUCUUGCCCAAGAGUCCAUAUCGACGGCAUGGUUUGGCACCUCGAUGUCGGCUCGUCGCAUCCUGGGGCUGGAGUAGGUCCCAAGGGUUGGGCUGUUCGCCCAUUAAAGCGGUACGCGAGCUGGGUUUAGAACGUCGUGAGACAGUUCGGUCCCUAUCCGCCGCGCGCGUUGGAGACUUGAGGAAGGCUGUCCCUAGUACGAGAGGACCGGGACGGACGAACCUCUGGUGUGCCAGUUGUCCCGCCAGGGGCACGGCUGGUUGGCUAUGUUCGGGAGGGAUAACCGCUGAAGGCAUCUAAGCGGGAAGCCUGUUCCAAGAUGAGGUCUCCCACCACCUUUGAGUGGGUAAGGCUCCCAGGAGAUGACUGGGUUGAUAGGCCGGAGAUGGAAGCCCUGUGAGGGGUGGAGUUGACCGGUACUAAUAGGCCGAGGGC